GUGGGCGCAGGACCACAUCCCCCCUGCCACCUCCUCCUGACUCCUGCUUGUCUCUGCUCUCCUCUCUUUUUUUCAGCUCACGAGGUCGUGCUGACUGCGCUAAGUCCUUCAAGGCUCGUUCCCCACAAUUACCCGCCAGCUUGCUCUUCAUUUGCCCCUCUCCUUUAUGAGUUCUGCUCUUCUUUCUGCAUCGCCCACGCUCCCCUCGGCUCCAUCCCUCGCAGCGACCCCGGGGCUCACAGAGCCGCCCCCAGCACCAGCCCUCACCUCCACCACCUCCUUCUUCUUGUCUUUGUGGACCGCUUUCUCCUCCACCUUCUCCUUCUUCUCCUUCAUCUCCUGCACGCGAGACGGGAAACACCAUUGCAGCGCCCGGCGGCGGCCAGGAACACAGCCGGGCUGCCGGGCGUUUGCGUGUGCUCGUGUUUUUGGCCCGCGGGACGCGCGCGGCAGCACCCCGGGGCGCUGUGUGUGUGUGUGUGUGUGUGUGUGUGUGUGUGUACAGGGGGGGUGUUGCGCGCGCUCUUUCGCCCACAUUCGCGCCGCGCUGCGCGCGCGCAGCCUCCCGCGCGCGGGCCCUCGCGCCCCCCGCCCCGCCCCGCCCCAGCCCCCCCAUUGGCGGAGGCCCUCGCGCGCCCCCCUGCCGGCCGGGCGCGCGCGCGCGCGCGGGAGGGGGGUCGGAGCGCGGCGCGGGGCGAGCCGCAGUCCGCUCCCGGCGCGGGACGGGGGAGGACGCGGGGAGAGGGGGGUGGUGGUGGGGCGGCUGUCGCCGCGCGGCUCACCUUGGCGCUCAGCUCCGCCGGCGCCUCCUCGACGCGUUUCUCCGACAUGCUGGCGCUGGGGGUAGCGGGGCGGAGGGCGGUGGGAAGCGGUGGUGGGGGUGCGCGGCGAGGAGCUCCGGGUCCCGGCGGUGCUGCGGCCGCGGCUCCCGCCCCGGGGGCCAAAGUACCAAGGGUCUGCCGCGAUGGGGGGAAUCCGGCGGCGGAGGGGAUUUAUACAGCGCCGGGUGACGAGGAAAGGAGGGACCUGGCGAAGGGAGGGGAGAGGGGACGGGCGGGAGGCGGAGGAGGGACGGAGGGCGGAGGCCGGCGGAGGAGCGGGGCCGCCAGAACAAUGCGCACCGGGGGCCGGCGCCCCCCCCUCCACCCCCCCACACCUCACCCCGGCCCCGCGGAGCCUCGCGGCCGGCCCGGCCCCUCCCCUCCCCGCAGGUGCCCCGGAGGUGCCAGGGCGGGGCCGGUGCGGCGCUGGCGGCGUGCCCGGGGAGCCGCGAGGCCCGCGGCCCGCCUCACGCCGCCCCCCGCCCGCCGGCAGGAGGAGCCGCGGGGCCGCGCGCGUGCCGCGCUCCCGCCUGGAAUUUUCCACUCGCGCCGGCCCCUCCCGCCCCUCCCAACGGCCGGGGCCCCGCGCGGGAACGGCCGGUGGGGGCGGGGAGGCGGGCUGUUUUUCCCGCGCUCUCCGAGGCGGAGGGGCGGGGCCCGGCCCGCGCGCGCGUCGGCGGGUGGGGGAAGGGCGGCGAGCGCGUCCCGCUUCCCCAUAUAA
rnacentral:lncRNA from 1 species